CCAUCUUUACUUUUAACUUAUUUAUGUUUCCCAAAUCAACUCAAUAAAUAUAGAAAUAAUUUUUUAAUUAUAUUAUGUCAGAUAAAUUAAUUUAAAUUUCAUUUGAUUAUAAUAGAUUUUUUUUUAUUUCUAAUCUAUAGGUAUACUAGUUGAAUAAUAAUUUUUUUUCUACCCCAUAAUGUGUGUGAAAUUUACAGUUUAAAAUAAGUAUAUUAUUUAAUAUAUCAGGAAAUACACCCCGUGUGUAAUCCUGUGGUCAUCCUAAAAAAAAAAAAAAGAUCAAUGUUAGGUUUAAUCAUUUUCGCUAUGGCAAUAAUAAUUUCACAAAAAACAAUUAUCUUAACUCACUAUUGACGGUUAAUUAAUAAUGUAAUUCAAUUUCGCUUAUUAAAUCGUUAAUUAUUAUUUUUAAUAGACUUAACAUAACCUAGUUAAUAUUAUUUAUUAACUUGCCCAGCCUUGUUUUAAGUGCCUAGUAAUGUAGUACAAUUAUUAUUAAUUCGACAACCGCGGUUGUUCGAUCAGUUAUAGAAUACCUAAUAUGCUUAAGAAAAAAAAAUAUGUAUUUAUAAAUAUUAGAUAUGUUAAAAUUAUUAACGUUAACCCUAAUAUUAACAAUAAUAUUAUUUUACGACGAUUCCGACCAUAAUAAUAUGAUCAGACGAUCGUCGUGUGUAAUCUCACUAUUUUUG